AGGUGGCGAAAUUUGGGGAUAUAAGGGCCAUGUAACAAAAAUAUAUCUAGCUAUAUAUACAUACAAUUAUAUCUAUAUAUAAUAUCAUGAAUCUGGACGAAAUGGUAAGUAAAUUAAGGAAGAAAAUGGAUGGAGACCACCGCUUCAGAGGCUUCCCAUAUUCGUUCUGUUUCUCAUUUCGUUUAAGAGAGAGAGAGAGAGAAAAAGCUCGUGUUGAGAGAGAAAAACAGAGAGAAACAAAAAGCAUUAAGAGAGAAACAGAAGAGAGAGAGAGAGAGAAACCAGAAAAAUAUGGGAGUGCGUCCCGUGCGCCUCUGCCGAGAUGAGUCCAGCUUCCUUCAGAUUUGAGGUGAGCUCCUUUUCUUUCUGAUGUUUUGUCUCUUCCUUUACUUGCUUCCUAUCGUCUCUCUUAACGUAAUUAAGGCACUCAAAAUGUGCAACAACCUUUGAAUAGAAGCUUCCUCCUCUGUUGCUAUCAACCCGUGAGGCUGAGACAGGUAAACCGACUUUGCUUCUUUCUGUAGCUUCUGUUUCAUGAUGCUGGGAACUCCUGCGUUGCUUGGAGCUUGUUAGGGUCCUCUAGUUUGGGUUAGAAGAGUCCCAGAAAUAGAAACACUUCUGAAAUUCAUGGAAUUAUCGCAAACAGCUCCUCACCUUGCACUAGUUGCUGCAGAUGCACUGCAGAUGCGUUCCUUCACUUUGGGAGCGAUUCCUGCAUGCGUUUCGGCUUCCGUGGGGGUCGUUCAAACGGUAAGAAAGAUAGUAAUUUGGUUUACACAAACAUGGGGUUUUAUAGAUAUAUUUAGAAGGCGAGAAUUACAUGAAAGUGGCUUGUGCAUGUUGUUUUAAUUAAAGUAGAAGUGUGCACAUGUGUUUAUGCAUGUUUUUGUGAUUAAUCUAUGUUUUUAUGAUUAAUGAAUGAAAAUGUUUCAUAACAUGUUUGAAUAGUUUUAAAGUGAUCGCAUAACAAAAUACGGGAAGAAAAUCGAAGGGGAGCGUCAAUAGAGGUGACGUGAUAGUAGCCGAAGACAUGUUUAAACCAGUAGAAGGCAGGAGGCGGGUUAGUACUGAUGAUCUUUCGGCAAACGAAAAAACAGUUGUGAAGUGACAACACUCAAGGGUACUUUAUCCCUGAUCAAGUAUAAAAUAGUGAGACCGAAUCCACCAAGCAGAAACCCCGACCUAGGAAGGACACCAAAAGGUACUAAAAAUCCAAAGAGUAACAGACCUCACUGCUAAAGAACGACUAGGCUCGAAAAUCUCGACCCAAGAAGGACCAGUUGUUGUCUGGGUAUGGGUAUCCGUGGGGUAUACAUGUGUCGCAAUGCACAUACAGGAUGUUUAGUCCCCAUGUCUUCUUGUAUUCCAAGGUCCCGUAAUGAAUCAAUCGAAAAGACUUUUUUGCCCGCAGGAAAACAAGAGGCAGGCAAAUUCCUUGACAUGUGGAUAUGGAGGCCAACGCAUGAACGAGGCUACCCCCACGCGUGCGGCCCAACCUGCAUGCCCCACGUGUGCCCGAGCACAGGUGCGCCCGCACGGACCGCGUGCCCAAGCGCACAAUAGUGCCCACGCCCUGGGCCCGUUGGCCCUGCGCACAGAAUCUGUCGCGCGCACAGGCCCAUGCAGCAGAACAUGCACACCCCACGUGGCCGAGCCAGAAACCAGCCCAGCUGGUCCAAUACGCAGCCCGCGAGCCGACCAGCGAGCCUGCUUUGCGCGACCUACGUGGAACNN
rnacentral:lncRNA from 1 species